rnacentral:rRNA from 1 species
CCUUCGGUGUUCGAGUUGUAAUUUGAAGAUGGUAACCUUGGGUUUGGCUCUUGUCUAUGUUCCUUGGAACAGGACGUCAUAGAGGGUGAGAAUCCCGUCUGAUGAGAUGCCCAUUCCUAUGUAAGGUGCUAUCGAAGAGUCGAGUUGUUUGGGAAUGCAGCUCUAAGUGGGUGGUAAAUUCCAUCUAAAGCUAAAUAUUGGCGAGAGACCGAUAGCGAACAAGUACAGUGAUGGAAAGAUGAAAAGAACUUUGAAAAGAGAGUGAAAAAGUACGUGAAAUUGUUGAAAGGGAAGGGCAUUAGAUCAGACUUGGUGUUUUACGAUUAUCUUCUCUUCUUGAGUUGUGCACUCGUAUUUCACUGGGCCAGCAUCGAUUCGGAUGGCAAGAUAAUGGCAGUUGAAUGUGGCUUCACUUCGGUGGAGUGUUAUAGCUUCUGCUGAUAUUGCCUGUCUGGAUCGAGGGCUGCGUCUUUUGACUAGGAUGCUGGCGUAAUGAUCUAAUGCCGCCCGUCUUGAACAACCGAACACAGUGGGGCGGCG